GCUUUCGUGGUCCAGUAAGUUGAUUUCCUGUCUGAUUUCCGAGUAUUCAUCAUCUAACAAGCAAUAGAGGGUUAGGAUUCCACCCUUCCAAGGUGGAGGUCGGUGUUCGAGUCACCGCGAUUGCA